GGGUUGUGAGGUUAAGCGACUAAGCGUACACGGUGGAUGCCCUGGCAGUCAGAGGCGAUGAAGGACGUGCUAAUCUGCGAUAAGCGUCGGUAAGGUGAUAUGAACCGUUAUAACCGGCGAUUUCCGAAUGGGGAAACCCAGUGUGUUUCGACACACUAUCAUUAACUGAAUCCAUAGGUUAAUGAGGCGAACCGGGGGAACUGAAACAUCUAAGUACCCCGAGGAAAAGAAAUCAACCGAGAUUCCCCCAGUAGCGGCGAGCGAACGGGGAGCAGCCCAGAGCCUGAAUCAGUGUGUGUGUUAGUGGAAGCGUCUGGAAAGGCGCGCGAUACAGGGUGACAGCCCCGUACACAAAAAUGCACAUGCUGUGAGCUCGAUGAGUAGGGCGGGACACGUGGUAUCCUGUCUGAAUAUGGGGGGACCAUCCUCCAAGGCUAAAUACUCCUGACUGACCGAUAGUGAACCAGUACCGUGAGGGAAAGGCGAAAAGAACCCCGGCGAGGGGAGUGAAAAAGAACCUGAAACCGUGUACGUACAAGCAGUGGGAGCACGCUUAGGCGUGUGACUGCGUACCUUUUGUAUAAUGGGUCAGCGACUUAUAUUCUGUAGCAAGGUUAACCGAAUAGGGGAGCCGAAGGGAAACCGAGUCUUAACUGGGCGUUAAGUUGCAGGGUAUAGACCCGAAACCCGGUGAUCUAGCCAUGGGCAGGUUGAAGGUUGGGUAACACUAACUGGAGGACCGAACCGACUAAUGUUGAAAAAUUAGCGGAUGACUUGUGGCUGGGGGUGAAAGGCCAAUCAAACCGGGAGAUAGCUGGUUCUCCCCGAAAGCUAUUUAGGUAGCGCCUCGUGAAUUCAUCUCCGGGGGUAGAGCACUGUUUCGGCAAGGGGGUCAUCCCGACUUACCAACCCGAUGCAAACUGCGAAUACCGGAGAAUGUUAUCACGGGAGACACACGGCGGGUGCUAACGUCCGUCGUGAAGAGGGAAACAACCCAGACCGCCAGCUAAGGUCCCAAAGUCAUGGUUAAGUGGGAAACGAUGUGGGAAGGCCCAGACAGCCAGGAUGUUGGCUUAGAAGCAGCCAUCAUUUAAAGAAAGCGUAAUAGCUCACUGGUCGAGUCGGCCUGCGCGGAAGAUGUAACGGGGCUAAACCAUGCACCGAAGCUGCGGCAGCGACGCUGAUGCGUUGUUGGGUAGGGGAGCGUUCUGUAAGCCUGCGAAGGUGUGCUGUGAGGCAUGCUGGAGGUAUCAGAAGUGCGAAUGCUGACAUAAGUAACGAUAAAGCGGGUGAAAAGCCCGCUCGCCGGAAGACCAAGGGUUCCUGUCCAACGUUAAUCGGGGCAGGGUGAGUCGACCCCUAAGGCGAGGCCGAAAGGCGUAGUCGAUGGGAAACAGGUUAAUAUUCCUGUACUUGGUGUUACUGCGAAGGGGGGACGGAGAAGGCUAUGUUGGCCGGGCGACGGUUGUCCCGGUUUAAGCGUGUAGGCUGGUUUUCCAGGCAAAUCCGGAAAAUCAAGGCUGAGGCGUGAUGACGAGGCACUACGGUGCUGAAGCAACAAAUGCCCUGCUUCCAGGAAAAGCCUCUAAGCAUCAGGUAACAUCAAAUCGUACCCCAAACCGACACAGGUGGUCAGGUAGAGAAUACCAAGGCGCUUGAGAGAACUCGGGUGAAGGAACUAGGCAAAAUGGUGCCGUAACUUCGGGAGAAGGCACGCUGAUAUGUAGGUGAGGUCCCUCGCGGAUGGAGCUGAAAUCAGUCGAAGAUACCAGCUGGCUGCAACUGUUUAUUAAAAACACAGCACUGUGCAAACACGAAAGUGGACGUAUACGGUGUGACGCCUGCCCGGUGCCGGAAGGUUAAUUGAUGGGGUUAGCGCAAGCGAAGCUCUUGAUCGAAGCCCCGGUAAACGGCGGCCGUAACUAUAACGGUCCUAAGGUAGCGAAAUUCCUUGUCGGGUAAGUUCCGACCUGCACGAAUGGCGUAAUGAUGGCCAGGCUGUCUCCACCCGAGACUCAGUGAAAUUGAACUCGCUGUGAAGAUGCAGUGUACCCGCGGCAAGACGGAAAGACCCCGUGAACCUUUACUAUAGCUUGACACUGAACAUUGAGCCUUGAUGUGUAGGAUAGGUGGGAGGCUUAGAAGUGUGGACGCCAGUCUGCAUGGAGCCGACCUUGAAAUACCACCCUUUAAUGUUUGAUGUUCUAACGUUGACCCGUAAUCCGGGUUGCGGACAGUGUCUGGUGGGUAGUUUGACUGGGGCGGUCUCCUCCUAAAGAGUAACGGAGGAGCACGAAGGUUGGCUAAUCCUGGUCGGACAUCAGGAGGUUAGUGCAAUGGCAUAAGCCAGCUUGACUGCGAGCGUGACGGCGCGAGCAGGUGCGAAAGCAGGUCAUAGUGAUCCGGUGGUUCUGAAUGGAAGGGCCAUCGCUCAACGGAUAAAAGGUACUCCGGGGAUAACAGGCUGAUACCGCCCAAGAGUUCAUAUCGACGGCGGUGUUUGGCACCUCGAUGUCGGCUCAUCACAUCCUGGGGCUGAAGUAGGUCCCAAGGGUAUGGCUGUUCGCCAUUUAAAGUGGUACGCGAGCUGGGUUUAGAACGUCGUGAGACAGUUCGGUCCCUAUCUGCCGUGGGCGCUGGAGAACUGAGGGGGGCUGCUCCUAGUACGAGAGGACCGGAGUGGACGCAUCACUGGUGUUCGGGUUGUCAUGCCAAUGGCACUGCCCGGUAGCUAAAUGCGGAAGAGAUAAGUGCUGAAAGCAUCUAAGCACGAAACUUGCCCCGAGAUGAGUUCUCCCUGAC
rnacentral:rRNA from 1 species